rnacentral:tRNA from 1 species
GAAAUAUGUCGUCUCAAGAAUAAGCUGCUAACUUUUUUCUUUAGCGGUUAAAUUCCGUUAAUAUUUCU